rnacentral:ncRNA from 2 species
UAUAUGCAAACGGGGAGCUUGUUGAUAUAGGCUGAGAGUUCUGAGUUAAUCAGAUAACCCGCAUAACCUGAACUGGCUAAUACUAGCGGAGGGAUGUUGCUGUGAUAAACGA